ACGGGGCAGCUCCCGCCCCGCCUCCGGCCCCGCCCCGGCGCUGUGCUCGCCCCGGCUGCCUCUGUUUGCAGCGAUCCCCCGUCCGUCUGCCGGAGCCGGUGUGAGAGCCAGGUCCUCAGGAAACUUUGACUGUAGCCUUUUCUGUGAAGGGGCAAAAUACUCCAGCUAUGGAGGAAACCAGGGAUGAGUAAACAAGUCAUGAGUCUUAUGUGACCUCAGCCUUAAGCACUGGCUCUCUCUCCCUAAGUGAGAUUUGUUAGCAGUGGAGGGAAUGAAACGAGACCUGAGUAGUUCCCUUAUACAGAACUGCUGUAUAAGAAAGUGUAUUUAUGUUAGAAUAAUUAUUGUGUAGUUAUUUUAUUGUCCAGCGGAGGGCAGCGAGGGUAAUUGGGAGACUGGAGCAUCUCACUUACGAGGAAAGGCUGAGGGAGCCGGGCCUGUUCAGCCUCCGGAAGAGACAAUUGAGACGGGACCCCAUCAAUGUCUGUUCUGCAAACCUUGAGAAUGGGAAGUUCUUCAGCAUCAGUCCCAGAAGUCCCUGCUCAUUUGGCAGCUCCCAUAGUAUCAUCACUGCUGAAGAUUAGGAGGAUAUAAAUGAAAGCAGGGAUCUUCUCAGGCACUGCUUUUUUCACUGAUUACUGUCCUCUCCAGUAACUGCCAUAAAGCUGGUAUGAAGUUUGUUACAAAACACAACAAAAGUGGUUCACAACGAGCAGUGCAGGAGGGUAGGUGGGCACACGGGGAGGACGUGAAACAAAGGUUAUAGGAGCCCUGCUGGACCUCAUGUCACUGUUCCUUCAUAAAAGAGCCUUCAUGGAAGCAGUAAUUCUUGCCAAGGAAUGUCAUAUAUGCCAUCUAUUGCAGAAAGCAAAAGGAGAAUGACAUGUCCCAAAGUCUGAAGGGCCAUUCUUAUCUGGCUAUUGUUAUUAAGAAAUAUGGAAUAAAGCAGGUUGGGGGAAGAAGAAUUUUUCUACCUUUGUAAGUAAUCCUUUCAUGGUUGGCUUGAUUUCUGACUUUAUGAAGAGUGGGCUGGCAGCCUGUAUUUUAAGAACAUUCUGUAGUACUUUGAUCCAUUCUUCUAAGAUGUUGGGAGAAUCUGCAGUCAGGGCCUAACCUACAGACCAGAUAAAGAGCACUGUAAUUCAGAGCUCCUCGCAGACAAACUUUU